UACGGGGGGGGCAAGCGUUGUUCGGAAUUACUGGGCGUAAAGGGCUCGUAGGCGGCCAACUAAGUCAGACGUGAAAUCCCUCGGCUUAACCGGGGAACUGCGUCUGAUACUGGAUGGCUUGAAUCCGGGAGAGGGAUGCGGAAUUCCAGGUGUAGCGGUGAAAUGCGUAGAUAUCAGGAAGAACACCGGUGGCGAAAGCGCUCUGCUAGGCCGCAACUGACACUGAGGGACGAAAGCUAGGGGAGCGAAUGGG
rnacentral:rRNA from 1 species